AGGCUACUGCUAUCAGAGUUCGAUUAAGCCAUGUUAGUCGAGGGUGCUUCUUCCUCUUCGGGGGAAGCGGUAACCCGGCGGACGGCUCAGUAACACGUGGACAACUUGUCCUUUGGACCGGGAUAACCCCUGGGAAACUGGGGCUAAUACCGGAUAGAGCAUUGACCGCUGGAAUGCGCGAUGCUCGAAAGCUGAGGCGCCAAAGGAUAGGUCUGCGGCCGAUUAGGUUGUUGUUGAUGUAACGGAUCAACAAGCCUUCGAUCGGUAUGGGUUGUGAGAGCAAAAGCCCAGAGAUGGGUUCUGAGAGAAGAACCCAGGUCCUACGGGACGCAUCAGGCGCGAAAACUUUACAAUGUGCGAAAGCACGAUAAGGGAACUCUGAGUGCCUCCAAAGGAGGCUGUUCAGGUGUUUAAAAAGCAUCUGAAGUAAGGGCUGGGUAAGACCGGUGCCAGCCGCCGCGGUAACACCGGCAGCCCAAGUGGUGGCCACUUUUACUGGGUCUAAAGCGUUCGUAGCCGGCUAUGUAAGUUCCUUGGGAAAUUUGACCGCUUAACGGUUAAGCUUCCAGGGAAUACUGCUUGGCUUGGGACCGGGAGAGGUCAGAGGUACCUCAAGGGUAGGGGUGAAAUCCGUUAAUCCUUGGGGGACCGCCAGUAGCGAAGGCGUCUGACCAGACCGGAUCCGACGGUGAGGGACGAAGGCUAGGGUAGCGAACCGGAUUAGAUACCCGGGUAGUCCUAGCUGUAAACGAUGCGGGCUAGGUGUUGGCAUUACUGCGAGUGAUGCCAGUGCCGAAGGGAAGCCGUUAAGCCCGCCAUCUGGGGAGUACGGUCGCAAGGCUGAAACUUAAAGGAAUUGGCGGGGGAGCACUACAACGGGUGGAGCCUGCGGUUC
rnacentral:rRNA from 1 species